rnacentral:rRNA from 1 species
GAUGAACGCUGGCGGCGUGCCUAAUACAUGCAAGUCGAGCGAACGGACGAGAAGCUUGCUUCUCUGAUGUUAGCGGCGGACGGGUGAGUAACACGUGGAUAACCUACCUAUAAGACUGGGAUAACUUCGGGAAACCGGAGCUAAUACCGGAUAAUAUUUUGAACCGCAUGGUUCAAAAGUGAAAGACGGUCUUGCUGUCACUUAUAGAUGGAUCCGCGCUGCAUUAGCUAGUUGGUAAGGUAACGGCUUACCAAGGCAACGAUGCAUAGCCGACCUGAGAGGGUGAUCGGCCACACUGGAACUGAGACACGGUCCAGACUCCUACGGGAGGCAGCAGUAGGGAAUCUUCCGCAAUGGGCGAAAGCCUGACGGAGCAACGCCGCGUGAGUGAUGAAGGUCUUCGGAUCGUAAAACUCUGUUAUUAGGGAAGAACAUAUGUGUAAGUAACUGUGCACAUCUUGACGGUACCUAAUCAGAAAGCCACGGCUAACUACGUGCCAGCAGCCGCGGUAAUACGUAGGUGGCAAGCGUUAUCCGGAAUUAUUGGGCGUAAAGCGCGCGUAGGCGGUUUUUUAAGUCUGAUGUGAAAGCCCACGGCUCAACCGUGGAGGGUCAUUGGAAACUGGAAAACUUGAGUGCAGAAGAGGAAAGUGGAAUUCCAUGUGUAGCGGUGAAAUGCGCAGAGAUAUGGAGGAACACCAGUGGCGAAGGCGACUUUCUGGUCUGUAACUGACGCUGAUGUGCGAAAGCGUGGGGAUCAAACAGGAUUAGAUACCCUGGUAGUCCACGCCGUAAACGAUGAGUGCUAAGUGUUAGGGGGUUUCCGCCCCUUAGUGCUGCAGCUAACGCAUUAAGCACUCCGCCUGGGGAGUACGACCGCAAGGUUGAAACUCAAAGGAAUUGACGGGGACCCGCACAAGCGGUGGAGCAUGUGGUUUAAUUCGAAGCAACGCGAAGAACCUUACCAAAUCUUGACAUCCUUUGACAGCUCUAGAGAUAGAGCCUUCCCCUUCGGGGGGGCAAAGUGACAGGUGGUGCAUGGUUGUCGUCAGCUCGUGUCGUGAGAUGUUGGGUUAAGUCCCGCAACGAGCGCAACCCUUAAGCUUAGUUGCCAUCAUUAAGUUGGGCACUCUAAGUUGACUGCCGGUGACAAACCGGAGGAAGGUGGGGAUGACGUCAAAUCAUCAUGCCCCUUAUGAUUUGGGCUACACACGUGCUACAAUGGACAAUACAAAGGGCAGCGAAACCGCGAGGUCAAGCAAAUCCCAUAAAGUUGUUCUCAGUUCGGAUUGUAGUCUGCAACUCGACUACAUGAAGCUGGAAUCGCUAGUAAUCGUAGAUCAGCAUGCUACGGUGAAUACGUUCCCGGGUCU